rnacentral:rRNA from 1 species
UACAGAGGUCCCAAGCGUUGUUCGGAUUCAUUGGGCGUAAAGGGUGCGUAGGCGGCGCGGUAAGUCGGGUGUGAAAUCUCGGGGCUUAACUCCGAAACUGCAUUCGAUACUGCCGUGCUUGAGGACUGGAGAGGAGACUGGAAUUUACGGUGUAGCGGUGAAAUGCGCAGAUAUCAGGAGGAACACCAAUGGCGAAGGCAGUGUUCUGGGCCAGUACUGACGCUGAGGAGCGAAAGCGUGGGUAGCAAACAGG